ensembl:lncRNA
ACAAUGUCAUAACAGAGAAGUUUUGAGACAAACAAGAUGCACCGUCAACGCGAGGCCUGGAAGUCCAGCCGGCACUAAAAUGCAGGAAAAAAUGAAGUCUUAAUCUGCUGUAUGUCAAGAGAGACCAUGUUUGGGUAUUUUUUCAUCAAGGGUGAGCUGGAACUGGUGUUGGGGUACUCAGAUUACUUUUUGUCGCUUCCGUUCACCCUCGACCCGAGCAGUCAAGGCUGACGUCUGCCCUCCCUGAGCCUGGUUUUGCUGGAGGUUUCUUCCAGGUAAAGGUCGACUCGGUGGAUGUGAUGUGACUGUAGCAUCACACUGACGUGGACCGAAGGUUCGGCUGCAUCAGGACACAGCAGGAGCGUUUUAAUGGAUGGAGCAGCUCUAAGUGAAUUAACUGGAGGAGGAGAGCUUGAAAGUGACUAAAAUAAGAUUUUGGCCCUUUUUGCAUGUCAAAGGUGCCUCCUGGUCUCCGAAGGCCUGUUCAGCCGUGAAGUGCACCUGAUUUCACUUUGUCAGGAAAAAAAUAACCGACGAGACCCCAAAUAGUUGAGAAAACUUCCCCGGCCUUCCAGUGGAUGGACAAAGAUCCGACUGUCUCUGCCUCUUUGGAUCCGUCCUCUCGGAUCCCUGCAGUCGUCUGUCUUCCUGGCAGCCAGCAGUCGAUCCUACACUGGGACCGAAGCCUCCUCGGCAGACAGCAGCCCUAAUUUCAUUAAUUAUAAACCAAUAUGCUGCUGGCAGUCCCUCCGGAGAGGACUUCACCCAGCACUGGCAUCUGUUCAGCACAAACACAGUGAGGGAUGGAAGGAUGGAGGGAUGAAGGGAUGGAGGGAGGAGAAAACAAGGACAUCUCUGACUCCUACCAUAGGAGAAGUCUGGUGCUGUGAAGGGAGCUCAUGGAGGGUGAAGGAGAUGAUGGAUGGAUGGAUGGAUGGAUGGAUGGAUGGAUGGAUGGAUGGAUGGAUGGAUAGAUAGAUAGAUAGAUAGAUAGACAGAUAGAUAGAUAGAUAGAUGGACGGCCGGACGGACGGACGAUGGAUAGACGGAUGGAUGGACGGAUGGAUGGAUGGAUGGAUGGAUGGUGGACGGACGGACGGACGGACAGACAGACAAACAGAGAGAUAGAUAGAUAGAUAGAUAGAUAGAUAGAUAGAUAGAUAGAUAGAUAGAUAGAUAGAUAGAUAGGGAUGGAUGGAUAGACAGACAGAUGGACAGACGAGCGAUGGGUGGAUAGAUGGAUGGAUGAUGGAUGGAUGGGUGGAUGGAUGGAUGAUGGAUGGAUGGAUGGAUGGAUAGAUAGAUAGAUAGAUAGAUAGAUAGAUAGAUAGAUAGAUGGACGGCCGGAUGGACGGACAAUGGAUAGAUGGAUGGAUGGACAGAUGGAUGGAUGGAUGGAUGGUGGACGGACGGACGGACGGCCAGACGGACAGACAGACAAACAGAGAGAUAGAUAGAUAGAUAGAUAGAUAGAUAGAUAGAUAGAUAGAUAGAUAGAUAGAUAGAUAGAUAGAUAGGGAUGGAUGGAUAGACAGACAGAUGGACAGACGAGCGAUGGGUGGAUAGAUGGAUGGAUGAUGGAUGGAUGGAUGGAUGGAUGGAUGGAUGGAUGAUGGAUGGAUGGAUGGAUGAUGGACGGACGGAUGGAUGAUGGAUGGAUGGAUGAAUAGACGGAUGGACAGAUGGAUGGACAGACGGACAGACAGACAGACGGAUGGAUGGAUAAAUGGAUGGAUGGAUGGAUGGAUGGAUGGAUGGACGGAUGGACAGAUGGAUGGAUGGAUGGACAGAUGGUACAGAAUACAAAGAAAAUAGAGUCUGAUGAAGUACAAAAGUGCAAUGUGAAAAAAGAACUACUACUAAUACAGAGUAUGUAGGAACUCUGUGUAGGUGCUUCACUGUGAGGACGAUGCAUUCACUGUGGUGGUCCU